GACGAACGCUGGCGGCGUGCUUAACACAUGCAAGUCGAACGAUGAAGCCGGAGCUUGCUCUGGUGAAUUAGUGGCGAAUGGGUGAGUAACACGUGGGCAACCUGCCCCUCACCUCGGGAUAACUCCGGGAAACCGGGGCUAAUACCGGAUAUGACCUCCUUGGGCAUCCUUGGAGGUGGUAAGUUGUUCGGUGAGGGAUGGGCCCGCGGCCUAUCAGCUUGUUGGUGAGGUAGUGGCUCACCAAGGCGACGACGGGUAGCCGGCCUGAGAGGGCGACCGGCCACACUGGGACUGAGACACGGCCCAGACUCCUACGGGAGGCAGCAGUGGGGAAUAUUGCGCAAUGGGCGAAGCCUGACGCAGCAACGCCGCGUGCGGGAUGACGGCCUUCGGGUUGUAAACCGCUUUCAGCAGGGAAGAAGCCGCAAGGUGACGGUACCUGCAGAAGAAGCACCGGCUAACUACGUGCCAGCAGCCGCUGUAA
rnacentral:rRNA from 1 species